rfam:Ictidomys tridecemlineatus contig098639, whole genome shotgun sequence.
GGGGUUGUGGCUCAGUGGUAGAGUGCUUGUCUCCCAUGCAUGGGGCAAUGGGUUCCAUCCUCAGCACCA